rnacentral:rRNA from 1 species
CCUACGGGUGGCUGCAGUGGGGAAUAUUGGACAAUGGGGGGAACCCUGAUCCAGCCAUGCCGCGUGUGUGAAGAAGGCCCUCGGGUUGUAAAGCACUUUCAGUGAGGAAGAACGCCUGGUGGUUAAUACCCAUCAGGAAAGACAUCACUCACAGAAGAAGCACCGGCUAACUCCGUGCCAGCAGCCGCGGUAAUACGGAGGGUGCGAGCGUUAAUCGGAAUUACUGGGCGUAAAGCGCGCGUAGGUGGCUUGAUAAGCCGGUUGUGAAAGCCCCGGGCUCAACCUAGGAACGGCAUCCGGAACUGUCAAGCUAGAGUGCAGGAGAGGAAGGUAGAAUUCCCGGUGUAGCGGUGAAAUGCGUAGAGAUCGGGAGGAAUACCAGUGGCGAAGGCGGCCUUCUGGACUGACACUGACACUGAGGUGCGAAAUCGUGGGUAGCAAACAGGAUUAGAUACCCUAGUAGUC